GACGAACGCUGGCGGCGUGCUUAACACAUGCAAGUCGAACGGAAAGGCCCUGCUUUUGUGGGGUGCUCGAGUGGCGAACGGGUGAGUAACACGUGAGUAACCUGCCCUUGACUUUGGGAUAACUUCAGGAAACUGGGGCUAAUACCGGAUAGGAGCUCCUGCUGCAUGGUGGGGGUUGGAAAGUUUCGGCGGUUGGGGAUGGACUCGCGGCUUAUCAGCUUGUUGGUGGGGUAGUGGCUUACCAAGGCUUUGACGGGUAGCCGGCCUGAGAGGGUGACCGGCCACAUUGGGACUGAGAUACGGCCCAGACUCCUACGGGAGGCAGCAGUGGGGAAUAUUGCACAAUGGGCGGAAGCCUGAUGCAGCAAUGCCGCGUGCGGGAUGACGGCCUUCGGGUUGUAAACCGCUUUCGCCUGUGACGAAGCGUGAGUGACGGUAAUAGGUAAAGAAGCACCGGCUAACUACGUG
rnacentral:rRNA from 1 species